GAUGAACGCUGGCGGCGUGCCUAAUACAUGCAAGUCGAGCGAACAGACGAGGAGCUUGCUCCUCUGACGUUAGCGGCGGACGGGUGAGUAACACGUGGAUAACCUACCUAUAAGACUGGGAUAACUUCGGGAAACCGGAGCUAAUACCGGAUAAUAUAUUGAACCGCGUGGUUCAAUAGUGAAAGACGGUUUUGCUGUCACUUAUAGAUGGAUCCGCGCCGCAUUAGCUAGUUGGUAAGGUAACGGCUUACCAAGGCAACGAUGCGUAGCCGACCUGAGAGGGUGAUCGGCCACACUGGAACUGAGACACGGUCCAGACUCCUACGGGAGGCAGCAGUAGGGAAUCUUCCGCAAUGGGCGAAAGCCUGACGGAGCAACGCCGCGUGAGUGAUGAAGGUCUUCGGAUCGUAAAACUCUGUUAUGAGGGAAGAACAAAUGUGUAAGUAACUAUGCACGUCUUGACGGUACCUAAGCAGAAAGCCACGGCUAACUACGUG
rnacentral:rRNA from 1 species